rnacentral:tRNA from 1 species
UGUUCUGUAGCUUAGUUGGUUAAAGCGCCGGUCUAGCGUACACGGAGUCGUGAGUUCGAGUCUCACCAGGGUUU